GCACCGGCACGGGCGACG
rnacentral:misc_RNA from 1 species